rnacentral:tRNA from 1 species
UGGCGCCGUGCGCCGCGGGAGCGGUGCUGCUUGCGGUGCUGCUGGGGAUGGGCUGACGCGUCCGUCCUGGUCGCAGCAGGGGGGUGCCGUCC